rnacentral:rRNA from 1 species
UACGGAGGGUGCGAGCGUUGUCCGGAAUCAUUGGGCGUAAAGCGCGUGUAGGCGGUCCGGUAAGUCCGCUGUGAAAGUCGGGGGCUCAACCCUCGGAUGCCGGUGGAUACUGUCGGGCUUGAGUACGGAAGAGGCGAGUGGAAUUCCUGGUGUAGCGGUGAAAUGCGCAGAUAUCAGGAGGAACACCAAUUGCGAAGGCAGCUCGCUGGGACGUUACUGACGCUGAGACGCGAAAGCUAGGGGAGCGAACAGG